UUUAGCUGUCUAAAGAUGUGCUCGAGUA
rnacentral:sRNA from 1 species